UCGUAACAAGGUUUCCGUAGGUGAACCUGCGGAAGGAUCAUUACCGAGUGAGGGCCCUUUGGGUCCAACCUCCCACCCGUGUUUAUUUUACCUUGUUGCUUCGGCGGGCCCGCCUUUACUGGCCGCCGGGGGGCUCACGCCCCCGGGCCCGCGCCCGCCGAAGACACCCUCGAACUCUGUCUGAAGAUUGAAGUCUGAGUGAAAAUAUAAAUUAUUUAAAACUUUCAACAACGGAUCUCUUGGUUCCGGCAUCGAUGAAGAACGCAGCGAAAUGCGAUACGUAAUGUGAAUUGCAAAUUCAGUGAAUCAUCGAGUCUUUGAACGCACAUUGCGCCCCCUGGUAUUCCGGGGGGCAUGCCUGUCCGAGCGUCAUUGCUGCCCUCAAGCCCGGCUUGUGUGUUGGGCCCCGUCCUCCGAUCCCGGGGGACGGGCCCGAAAGGCAGCGGCGGCACCGCGUCCGGUCCUCGAGCGUAUGGGGCUUUGUCACCCGCUCUGUAGGCCCGGCCGGCGCUUGCCGAUCAACCCAAAUUUUUAUCCAGGUUGACCUCGGAUCAGGUAGGGAUACCCGCUGAACCUAAGCAUAUC
rnacentral:misc_RNA from 1 species